UCUAGAAUCGUGGCAUGUGAGCGUAGG
rnacentral:piRNA from 1 species